rnacentral:rRNA from 1 species
UACGGGGGGAGCAAGCGUUGUUCGGAAUUACUGGGCGUAAAGGGCGCGUAGGUGGCCAACUAAGUCAGACGUGAAAUCCCUCGGCUUAACCGGGGAACUGCGUCUGAUACUGGAUGGCUUGAGUGUGGGAGAGGGAUGCGGAAUUCCAGGUGUAGCGGUGAAAUGCGUAGAUAUCUGGAGGAACACCGGUGGCGAAGGCGGCAUCCUGGACCAUUACUGACACUGAAUAGCGAAAGCCAGGGGAGCAAACGGG